AAUUUCCUAUUUCUUUUUUUCACAUAGUGUUUAUAAAUACAACACCUAUUUGAGAAAUCAACACAGACACUUCACUUCACCGAACAGAGAGCGUUCGAUCUAUUGCUUCUCUCUCUCUCUCUCUCGGAAUCUUUCGUUUGGUGAUGAUUUUUGAAGAAUGAAGAAGAUUCAGAGCAGAAUUUAGGGUUUACGAUUGAUUACCCAAACAACAACAACAACGACAUGUAUAAUCAUCUUUCAAUUGUAUAGUCAUCUUCUUCCGCAUCCAUCAGCGUGAGCCAAGUGGAGUAUCGGACGUUGCUUGUUUGUUUCUUUAUCCAUGGCGUUUCUUCAUCUCUGUUUUGACGACGACCAAGUACAGUACAGAUCGGGAUGACAUGGUUAAUGAUGAGUGAAUGAUGUUUCAGAACUUGGUGAUUUAUGGUCAGUGAUGGAUUGAAGAAUGAAGAAGAAGAAGAAGACUCGAAACUGCUUAAGGUUUGUUUGAUGAUGCUCCGAACGACAACAACAUCAAUGGAUCGUUGAUGAAUUAGCAAGUGAUGAUCGGAGGAGGAGGAGCAAGCUGUUUCUUUCCAUGGUGAUUUCACUUGAUCCUAAUGGAAGUUAUAUGGAUUUUUGAGCUUUUGAAAUGCCAAUGACAAGAGACUGCAUCUGCCCCCAGUGAUAGGCUUCCUGCUGAUCCUGGUGUUGUGACUUGUAAGGAACUACUUACUUCUUUUGGUAGAGAGAAGAAGCUCAAUCGUCAGAUGAUGGAGAUAUGUAUAUUAGUAGGGAUGAUACUGAAUCGUGGACCCAAGUGAUAGUAAAAUCCUCUUCACUGUACUACUGAAGUGGAACUGGGCGACAAGGCACCAAAAUUCAAAGCAAAACCCUUGAUUUUACUAAGCUAAAAUGGAGUCCAGAAGCAGGUAUAUUGUGUUGUAGGUUUAUGUUUCGUUUUGCAGGUUUGCAUGAAAAGCUUGAAGCUAAAUAUACGGAUGGGUGAUAUGCUAUGGGUUUGAAGAAUGAAGAAGAUUCAGGACCAAAAAGGUUUAUGUUUCGUUUUGCAGGUUUUCAUAAAUUGGAUGUGUUUAAAAAUCUUGAAGCUAAAUAUAAGGCUGAAAGAAAGGAAAAGAAAGAAGAAGGAGAAGAUGAUGAAGAAGUUGAAGAAUCAGAGGGAGGAGAAUCUGAUUACGGAGAUUAUGAUCAGAAUCAAGACUUCCAUGAUGAUGACGAUCAGGCAGAUGAGGGUGAAUUUGAAGAUGUUUAUUCAGCUCCUUCCUCAAAAUGAGCCCUUCACUCCAUAGCUCGAGCUUUUGCCUGCACCACAAAGAAGUUCACCACAUCUGCCAUAAUUCAAGGUUUAAGAUUGGAUUUACUUUUGAGUUUUUGGGACCUAUUUCAAGAUUUCUUCAGUUCAGACCAAGAAAGCGUUCGAUUCUAGUGGUGGCGAGAGAGCAAGCAGACCUGAACAAGUCACAGGCGUGUGUUCGUGUUUUCCAACCAAGACGAUGAUUUAUUGACUCAAGAUUUUUUCAAGGAUGAAGUAGAAUCAGAACAAAAACGGUCGUGGGCGUUCUUACGGUAACAGCAUCAAACAAACUGAUUAAAAGGUGUGUGUUUGCGUCCCACCUGGACGAUGAUUUAUUUGACUCAGAACAUAAAACGGUCUCCGCCCGCCGUUCAUACAGUAACACUAACAACAUCAAACUGAUUUUAAAAGAUCGGUGAAAUGCUAUGGUUUGAAGGACGAAGAAGGUUCAGGGCAAAGCAAUCAAAUGAUGUUCUUCAUCUCGGAGCUAUUGGAUGGUUCGUGUGGUUCUUGAAGUAUUUGUCAAUUUAAGACCGAUAACAGUGUUACAACAAGUACAAUAUCUCUCAUAGGCAGAUCACUGCUUAUGAUCAUCCGGGAGCUUACUGGAGGUAUUUACAAUACGCAUCCUCGGGGUUUUACCACAAAUGAACAAGGUGAGGAAGUUUGCUUUUGUACUGAGUCCUAUUCUGCUGCAAGUGAGGAGAGAAGAAAAAUUGCCUAUUGCCAUGAACGAGCUUCUGCACAACAUCAAGUCAGAAGGAAACAUCAUCCUCUAGCCAAGUAUUAUUUGCUACUAACAUUGAAAUGAGGCUAGGUGGUAGAUAUAGUGAUUCAAAGAUUAACUUCACACAAUAACGAGAAAAGAUGGAGAAGUGAUAUGAGAAAGAAGCCAAAUUAAAAAAAAAGAAAAUUAAAGAUGCAGAAACUCUAAAACAUAGUAGCAGAUUCAGGUUUGAAUAAACUUGAGCAACAAGAGAGGGACAAAAGGUUCCACUUGAUGCAUUAGUAAGUUAGUUUAUCAGGAGAAGAACUCUAUCUGGAGCUUGUGAGCUCUGGGAAGGUAUUAGCAGAUCCGUGGCAAGUUGCAGCCUUGCUUCAAGACAUGGGAAUUUCUCCAGGAAAGGAGUCUAGAUACGAAGACGACGACGGUAUCUAUGAUAUUGUUAAUCUUCUGGAGAGUGUUGCGGAUGAUCGGAGGGGGACAUUGUUUGUUUCCAUGGCGUUUCUUCUAAUUUGACCGAGCAAGUAGAUAUCGCGGAGAUGCUUUCAAGAAUGAAUGAAGUUUCAUCACAAAAAAAAUUUGGCCGGCUUAGUGAGAGGAAAAGCAAGAAGGGAUAUUUGAAAGGUCGUCCCUUGCAGCAACUUGAAACAAUGACGAUGAUGGUGUGUCUCUAGUCUUCCAAUAUGGCCCUUGGAAUCUCUGAGAUCAGUGCGUUUAACUAGCAAACACUGGAACACUUUAUUCAAAAGUGGGAGCUUUACGUAGAUGCACCUUGGUAAAUUAGCAGAAGCAGGGGAGUUUGGGAUAUGAUCGUGAUGAUGGAUUACAAUUAAUGUUUAUUUAACGAGCGUCGUCGUCGGCAAUGGAAACCCAUCAGCAAAGCCUCUGAGGUAAACUUACUUGCUUU